AACGAACGCUGGCGGCAGGCCUAACACAUGCCAGUCGAGCGAGAUCUUCGGGUCUAGCGGCGGACGGGUGAGUAACGCGUGGGAAUAUGCCUCUUGGUACGGAAUAGCCUCGGGAAACUGGGAGUAAUACCGUAUGUGCCCUUUGGGGGAAAGAUUUAUCGCCAAGAGAUUAGCCCGCGUUGGAUUAGGUAGUUGGUGGGGUAAUGGCCUACCAAGCCGACGAUCCAUAGCUGGUUUGAGAGGAUGAUCAGCCACACUGGGACUGAGACACGGCCCAGACUCCUACGGGAGGCAGCAGUGGGGAAUCUUAGACAAUGGGGGCAACCCUGAUCUAGCCAUGCCGCGUGAGUGAUGAAGGCCUUAGGGUUGUAAAGCUCCUUCAGCUGGGAAGAUAAUGACGGUACCAGCAGAAGAAGCCCCGGCUAACUCCGUG
rnacentral:rRNA from 1 species